GAGACUGAACUAAAGAACAUAUUGUAGUAUUAACAAAUAUACCUUAGUAUACAUAAUAGAUUUAAAAAAACAAUGUAAUGUUGGGGUUUUUUUGCCCUUUGUAGAUUAAGGAAGCAGCUAAUUUUUAACUGGAAGCUUUCAUCAGGCAAUUCAGGAAUUUGUGGGCUAUUCAUCUUGUGACUGGUUGCCAACACAUUGACUCAGAAGUCAUCAGUGUUUCCAUAGCAUUUGAACUCUGGUUUUGACAUGAGAGCUGCAGAUUCUCCUGACGAAUUCCAUCACUCAAAAGAAACAUCGGAGCAUAUCUGCAUAGUAGCAUGAUUAAUUCCCCAGAAAGUGUCCAGAGACAGUGUAAACCUCAUCUCAUGCAACAAAAGAGAUGCCGGAGCAGAAGCUUCUCCCUGUCUUCCCUACUGAGAAACGCCAGAGCACACCUGAAACAGAGUUUAAACCUUCGGGAUUUCUUCAUACGUUAAGGAGUUGACUCGUGUGUCAAACUUGCCAAGUACAUGAUUCCUGGAAGAAAGAAAAUGGGUAAGAAUGUAUUUUUAUACAAAGAACUUUAAGGAUCACAGGAUUAUGUGUCUUCACAUUUAUGUGUACAUACAGCCACAGCCUUACCUCUCUCAAUUCUGCAUCUGUGGGGU